GGUUAAUAUUCAUGCAUACCAGAAGGCUGUAUAUACUGUCGACUGCUGUAUUUAUAGAAGUUUUCUCACAAAAAUACAAGUUAUCGUAUUCACAUUCAUUUGGCAUUCUUCAGGCAUUUACGGAAACAAUGGAAAAGCUUGUGCUAACCGCUGUUGUUCUCAUUCUGCUGAUGGCGCUGAAUUUGACGACUGCCUCGGUGCAGUUAUGCUGUAACGGGUGCAGACGUAAAAGCAAAGCAUGCAAGCCCAUUGGGAACACGUGUCGUUGUGUGGAGAAAGCUAACCAAGGAGUCGUUGCUAAAAUUCUUUCGGACGCUUCCUCGCGUUCAGCAGACGACAUACGAGGAGCUGAAAUAAGACGCAGGCUCUUCGGUCAUGUCUUGGGAAACGUCUAGGUUGACAAUCGUUUUACGCGUUUAGUUCCUGCACACAACCGUCAAACAAUCAGUGAGUGCUGUGCAAAAUGAUUUUGUAUUGAAUGAAAACAUAAAGUAUGACAUAACUGUUCAUCGCUUGUCAGCGAUCGUUUAUAAACAUGCGAAUACAUUGAAGUGGAUUACUUAAUAAAACACAUUUUCCAAACGUUUGCUUCACCAAUUAUCCCCAAGCUUUUCGGAGAAAAAGUGGGGAUAUUGUGGUUAUCUCCGUCUUCCGUCCGCCUACACUAUAAGCACUAGAACCUUGAAACUUACACACGUGGUAGCUAUGAGCAUAUGUGCGACCCUGCACUAUUUGAAAUUUUGAUGUGACCCCUGGGUCAAAAGUUAUGGGGGUGGGGCAGGGUCAGAGAUUUUCACUAAUUUUUAAGCCCCCACAAUUAAUGGUGCAUUGGCCAUAUCUUUUGCUACAUUGAAGAUUUUUAUAUUUGGUAUGCAUGUGUAUCUCAUGGCGCUGCACAUUUUGAGUGGUGAAAGGUCAAGGUCAUCCUUCAAGGUCAAACAAACUAAUCCAUGGGAAGUAAUAAGCUUUAAUAGGAGGUAAUUAAUGAACCUGUCAAAUGAUACAAAUAAAUAAAUCAAUCAAAGCGGUGCAGGAGGGGGCAUUAUGUUUCUGACAAACACAUCUCUUGUUUUCAUUUUACAUUUCAUAAGAAGGUUACGAGAGGGAUCUUAUUUUCUUAAUCUUAUCUUCAUAAUCUUAUCUACACAUGUGCAUACAUGUGGUUUAUCAAAUAUACCAACCGACGCUUUGAAUCCACACUGGGGACGUCGGUGGAGAGGAUGUGACUCUACAGCAGAUGCUUUUCAAGACCAUUAUCUUGCUUAAAUUGAUAAUUCGUGUUGUUAAUUGUUAUCUGAACAAUACACAUAAUUCAGAAAAUUAAUACAGAUCAUCAAUCAAUUAGGCAAUUUAGAGAACACCGUCGGUUUAUUUCAGUCUAUUAACUAUUCAUUAUGUAUGUUUCCUUCUUAAAUGAAUACUUUAUAGUAAUAUUUUAUGAAGAAAGAAAUUAGUUUAGGCAAUAUUAAGAACAACACAAACUAUUCAAGUGUGUCUAAUGCUAUACAUUUCUAUAUUACCGAUUACAUUUAGGUUGAAUAUUAUUGCAACAGUGAAGGUGAAGGUGAUAGCAGAUAUGUAGUUUUUAAUCACAAAAAAGUAAGCCUUACUUAGUUUCGCUAAAUAAUACUUCCGACACUAAGUUAAAUCUUAAAAUUAAUGUCAAGAAACAUUUAUUGUAUAUCCUUUGUUAUGAAACUUAAAUCAUAAAUAUCAAUGUAGAAAUAAUGAAGUUUGAUUCGAAGGCAGAUAUCCACUUUAAACAUUGUCAACAUAGGGCUGAAAUUUAACAAAGAUUCGCUUAUUACUAGGUUUACCAAAGGCUAUACAUUUUGAUAUUGACUUUAUAAUUAUUCGUGAAAUUACAUUCCAUAAAGAAAUAAUUUAAAUUUAGACAAAGGCAUAACUGGCAGGUUCGCUUUAAAAAAGACCUUCGGCCUUAAAUGUUACGUAUGGACGCCGAAUGUUGGUAGAAAGACACAUUUUAGAAAUUAAGUAUGCAUAUUUCUGAUUUAACUUUAAUUUAUCAAAGCUGUUAUAAAUAUUGAAACUUU